CCUACGGGGGGCAGCAGUGGGGAAUAUUGCACAAUGGGGGAAACUCUGAUGCAGCGACGCCGCGUGAGUGAAGAAGUAUUUCGGUAUGUAAAGCUCUAUCAGCAGGAACGAGACAAGACGGUACCUGACUUAGAAGCCCCGGCUAACUACGUGCCAUUAGCCGCGGUAAUACGUAGGGGGCAAGCGUUAUCCGGAUUUACUGGGUGUAAAGGGAGCGUAGACGGUAGCGCAAGUCUGAAGUGAAAUGCCGGGGCCCAACCCCGGAACUGCUCUGGAAACUGGGAAGCUGGAGUGCAGGAGAGGUAAGCGGAAUUCCUGGUGUAGCGGUGAAAUGCGUAGAUAUCAGGAGGAACACCGGCGGCGAAGGCAGCUUACUAAACUGUAACUGACAUUGAGGCUCGAAGGCGUGGGGAGCAAACAGGAUUAGAUACCCCAGUAGUC
rnacentral:rRNA from 1 species